rnacentral:sRNA from 1 species
UGCAAGGGUUAUUGGAUCUGAUAGAUCCGU